CGCCUCUUUAAGUCUCUUCAAUGCCAUGUUCAUUUCUCUUUUUUGAUUACCAGGUAGUGCUGUCCUCAGUCUCUUGGGGCAUACUUCUUUCCCGAUCUGGCACAAACUACCCCUCAGGGCUUAAAGACAAGCAGAUGACAGAUGAUCAAGGAAAAGUGAAACGCUUGGCUAUAGAACGAGACUCCACAAGCAGGAAAUUAGGUCCACAGAUUAAAAAGAACAAGCCUCACCUGGGAAGUUUCUGAGUAAGUCCGUCUAGAAGCAUUCUGGGUGGGGACGGUUCUGCUCCAUGAAAU
rnacentral:lncRNA from 1 species